rfam:Bacterium K02(2017) isolate K02 NODE_23_length_10975_cov_6.62518, whole genome shotgun sequence.
CCCAGGGUUUACACCCUGGGCUAGGUAGUGUCGCUCCUUCGGAGCU